rnacentral:rRNA from 1 species
CCCUUAGAUGUUCUGGGCAGCACGCGCGCUACAAUGGAUGAAUCAACGCGUCAUCCUGGCCCGAAAGGGUUGGGGAACCGCUGAACCUCAUCCGUGGUUGGGAUUGGGGUUUGUAAUUAUUCCCCAUGAACUAGGAAUUCCCAGUAAGCGCGAGUCAUAAGCUCGCGUUGAUUACGUCCCUGCCCUUUGUACACACCGCCCGUCGCUACUACCGAUUGGAUGGUUUAGUGAGAUCCUCGGAUUGGUCACGGCACGGUGGCAACACUGCGUCGGUGUGCCGAGAAGACGAUCAAACUUGAUCAUCUAGAGGAAGUAAAAGUCGUAACA